AGCGAACGCUGGCGGCAGGCUUAACACAUGCAAGUCGAGCGCCCCGCAAGGGGAGCGGCAGACGGGUGAGUAACACGUGGGAACGUGCCUUUUGGUUCGGAACAACCCAGGGAAACUUGGGCUAAUACCGGAUAAGCCCUAACGGGGAAAGAUUUAUCGCCAAAAGAUCGGCCCGCGUCUGAUUAGCUAGUUGGUGGGGUAAUGGCCCACCAAGGCUACGAUCAGUAGCUGGUCUGAGAGGAUGAUCAGCCACAUUGGGACUGAGACACGGCCCAAACUCCUACGGGAGGCAGCAGUGGGGAAUAUUGGACAAUGGGGGCAACCCUGAUCCAGCCAUGCCGCGUGAGUGAUGAAGGCCUUAGGGUUGUAAAGCUCUUUUAGCGGGGAAGAUAAUGACGGUACCCGCAGAAAAAGCCCCGGCUAACUUCGUGCCAGCCGCCGCAGUAACAC
rnacentral:rRNA from 1 species